AUUGAACGCUGGCGGCAUGCCUUACACAUGCAAGUCGAACGGUAGAGUAGCAAUACUUGAGAGUGGCGAACGGGUGAGUAAUAUAUCGGAACGUGCCCAGUCGUGGGGGAUAACGUAGCGAAAGUUACGCUAAUACCGCAUACGAUCUAAGGAUGAAAAGCGGGGGAUCGCAAGACCUCGCGCGAUUGGGAGCGGCCGAUAUCAGAUUAGGUAGUUGGUGAGGUAAAGGCUCACCAAGCCGACGAAUCUGUAGCUGGUCUGAGAGGACGACCAGCCCACACUGGGACUGAGACACGGCCCCAGGACUCCUACGGGGAGGCAGCAGUGGGGAAUUUUGGGACAAUGGGCGCAAGCCUGAUCCAGCAAUGCC
rnacentral:rRNA from 1 species